GACGAACGCUGGCGGCGUGCUUAACACAUGCAAGUCGAACGGAAAGGCCCUGCUUUUGUGGGGUUCUCGAGUGGCGAACGGGUGAGUAACACGUGAGUAACCUGCCCUUGACUUUGGGAUAACUUCAGGAAACUGGGGCUAAUACCGGAUAGGAGCUCCUGCUGCAUGGUGGGGGUUGGAAAGUUUCGGCGGUUGGGGAUGGACUCGCGGCUUAUCAGCUUGUUGGUGGGGUAGUGGCUUACCAAGGCUUUGACGGGUAGCCGGCCUGAGAGGGUGACCGGCCACAUUGGGACUGAGAUACGGCGCAGACUGCUACGGGAGGCAGCAGUCGGGAAUAUUGCACAAUGGGCGGAAGCCUGAUGCAGCAACGCCGCGGGCGGGAUGACGGCCUUCGGGUUGUAAACCGCUUUCGCCUGUGACGAAGCGUGAGUGACGGUAAUGGGUAAAGAAGCACCGGCUAACUACGUG
rnacentral:rRNA from 1 species